rnacentral:lncRNA from 1 species
AUUCCCUGCAUUUAUAUAUUUAAUUAUUCCCCAUUUAGGACUGACUUCUACUAACAGGUCUUCCCAACUAAGAAGUAUCAAUACAUGGAACUAACAAACCACAUUCAUAUUGGAACUAAGCUAUCUUUAUGAGAAAGAACGAUUUUGGUUAAAUUACAUAUUGCUUGAAAAAUAACAUUUAAUUUAAAACUCCAAGUUCUGGAAAUUAUGUCUUUAGAUGGGCAUAUAAAGAGAUAUAACUUGAAAGAAGAAUUUGUCACUUGGCAAUGUUUUGUGUACAGUUCCUGGAUGGUGGGUAAUACUGUGUUCAUCCUUGUGUAGUGAACAUUAGAGACAAUAUAAACUUGGGGCCUAUUUUAUCUGGCUACAAGUCAUUUUUCAUAAUCUAGUUGAGAUAACUGAAAGUAUUUCUAUAGAUUCGUCUACUGAUUUGAAACAUCACUUAUGUCACAGAAAAAAUAACUUGUUUUUGUUAAUAGCAAGCAUUCCAUUCUUAUUUUUCCUCACAUACGUGUUCAGAGCAAAAGGAAAAAUUACUCAAGUCCCAGAUAUCAUGUUGCAAAUGAAUUUUCUUUGUGGACUGGUACCAAAAGUCUAUGCCCCUUGAUUUCUAAAGAGCCAGUCAACUGAGGAAUCCCUGAAAACAGAUUUGGCCAAAAUAAUGCAGUAUCAAUGCAGCUUUGUUUACUUACAAAUCUGCAAAGAAAAACAUAUAUGCAAAAAAAAUGCUUUUCAAGAGAAAUAUUCUAUUAAAGCAAGAGAUUAUAUUAGUGUGUUUGAAUUCCCUGCAUAAUUACUUGAUUCUUCAAAAUCUUUUUAGAUUUUUAGUGCAUACAUAAUCAAGGCAAAAGUAUAAGAUGUAUUUAUUCUUUUUUCUAAUCCAUGUAAGUAAGAAUUUUGCAAAAAUACUUUAUAUUACAGUAAUGUAAUGUAAAUUGGAUGUUACCAAUUGAAGUUUUAUUGCCAGAGUCACUAAUAAAUCUUUCCUAGAGAUAUAGUUAUUGGUAAGAGGUUUAAAAUUUGGAAUGCUGGUAGAUAAAGUGUUGGAUAGAUAUGGUGAGGUAAAUGAUGUCUUAAAGCAAAUAGGAUCCUUGAUAAAAAGCAAGAAAAUUCAAAGGAUGAAUCUGGUGACCUAAAUGCUAAUCCUUCUGCUUAUGUAACUACACAGCUUGGUGUGUUUGGAACACUGAAUAUGACUUCCUUGCUUGUUUAUUUGAUUGUAUAAUUUCUUCCAUUUGUAUUCCUAAUUUCAUUUCAGCUUCAUGCCUGAGAACAUUUCUUGAUUUAUGAGUCUUGCUUGGGAUUACUACUUUAGGGAAAAAUGAAUGCAUUAAUAACAAUAGUAAUAAUAACAAUAGGCUUAUUAGGGACCAAAAAGUAAUUUGAGCAAAUCACUAAUAAUAUAGUAAUUGUUUGUUCCCCAAUUUUUUGAGAUAUCUUCUCGUGUAGAGAACAAAUUGACUGAUAUCUUUUUGAAUCAUGCUGCUGAAAAGUCAAAACACAGUUAAAUUGUAUGCUCACAACUUCCCCAUUCCUAUAUCCCAUGGAUGUUGGGCAGUAGAAACUUUAUUCUAUUAUAUGGUAUAUUCUAAGUCAGAGAUGUGGUGGUGAAUACUUUCUGAGAUUUCUUUCAUUAUUACACAAAUGAAAAUGAAAUUUAAUAAUGCUCUAACUGCCUGAUAAAAAAUUCCAUCUUUAAUUAAGUCAAUGGCAAUUAAACAUGACACUUACCAAUAAUUUGAGCAGAGCAUCUGGCCAGGCUGGAAGAAUGAAUCAUGUUCAAUGGAAGCUUCAAAUCAUAGCAAAUAAAUAAAUAAAGUGAAAAAAAAAUCCCUUCAGGCAUGAUCAGGGUCAUGAGCAAAAAUAUCCAAGUUGUUGUGUGGCAACUCCUAAUGCAACAUAAUUUUAGAAAAUUAUUUAGUGAUUGUAUAAAUGUGACAUGCCUGAAAAAAUGCUAAUUAAACUGGUUUACACAAUGGUUGAGAUGU